rnacentral:sRNA from 1 species
AUCUAGCCCCGAUGGGAACGGCAUCUCCCGAUUUAGAAAAACAAGGCUUUUUAGCCGUAGUUUUUGUUAAUUGGGAAUAUAGUGGACAGCGGGACAGGUC